UUAACUAUGUUUACUUAUCUAAUCACAUUUCUAGGCUAAUCAGUCUCAGACGGAUUAUCGUAUUGAUGGUUUACACACCAUACGCAAUUUAAUGUUGGUAAAACUACAUAACUUAGAAAACUUGAUGCAUAAGCCUACACAACCUACUUCAGCAAGAGCUUUGUUGCCAAUGAGUACAACAUAUCCACCGGAAGAUGACAUAUCAAACAUUGUUCUUUACAUUUCAUCUGAUGAUGAUAACAACAUAUUACCUAAAGGAACUUCUGUUCAGAAAGGGUCAUCAAGCAAAAAAAAAAAAAAACAACUUCCACUUAUAAGAAGCUCAAUGUGAAGUCUGUCACUUCAGACUCAACCUACACAGAGUCAUCAAUCCGUUUUGGAUCUUCAUCAAAGGUAUAUAAUAAUGUAAAAAACUAUCAAGAUUUACGUGUAAGCUUAAAGAAAUGAUACUGAUUAACCAUUUAUUUUCUUAAAUGGUAGAUGACACAUUUGUUUCCAACUGCUACUGACAAUGAAUGCAUGGUGGGGAGGAGGAGGCUAUCUUUUGUGCCCUCACCAAGUUCUAGGGCAUAGCAAAUUCCUAAGAAAGAACCCUUGGAUGUUAAGACUGAAGUGAAGAAUGUUCCAAUGCAUACUAUUAAACACACCUUGUCUAAGGUGAAUGAAUACAACUAUUAAGUCUUUUUUUAUAUUUUUAAUACCAAUGUCUAAUACUAGACAUAUAUUUAUAGUUUAUCAAGACCAACUUUACUAUCACACCAGCCAUGAGUCUAACAGAAGAGGAAGCUCAACUUUCUGCAUAUGUUUUUCACCCUUUUAAUGACCUGGGGUAAUUGUUACACAUCAUAAAACUUUAUAUCAUUUAGUUCUGUAUGAUAAACAAAUUGUGAUAUUUUACCUCAUUCAUGUAGUGAGAUACUAUUCAAGCUUGAUGGAUUUGAAGGAAUUCGUAAAGAUUUCAUGACCUUGUGUCCUGCAAAAAUAGUUGAAACAGAGGUAAUAUAUUACACUUUGCUUUCCAAUUGAUAUAACUAACUAGUCUUUGUGUAUAUUGAAAGAGAAAUUUAUAUCAUGUUGGCAGAUUGCACACAUGAUGGCAUUAAAGGUUAAUUGGACUCAAAAGCAAAUGUUAACCCCUACAAAGUGGACACUGCCCCCUGCAUUUGUGGUACAAUUUUUU
rnacentral:lncRNA from 1 species